rnacentral:rRNA from 1 species
GACGAACGCUGGCGGCGUGCCUAAUACAUGCAAGUUGAGCGCUGAAGGUUGGUACUUGUACCGACUGGAUGAGCAGCGAACGGGUGAGUAACGCGUGGGGAAUCUGCCUUUGAGCGGGGGACAACAUUUGGAAACGAAUGCUAAUACCGCAUAAAAACUUUAAACACAAGUUUUAAGUUUGAAAGAUGCAAUUGCAUCACUCAAAGAUGAUCCCGCGUUGUAUUAGCUAGUUGGUGAGGUAAAGGCUCACCAAGGCGAUGAUACAUAGCCGACCUGAGAGGGGGGUCGGCCACAAUGGGACUGAGACACGGCCCAAACUCCUACGGGAGGCAGCAGUAGGGAAUGUUCGGCAAUGGACGAAAGGCUGAACGAGCAACGCCGCGUGAGUGAAGAAGGUUUUCGGAUCGUAAAACUCUGUUGGUAGAGAAGAACGUUGGUGAGAGUGGAAAGCUCAUCAAGUGACGGUAACUACCCAGAAAGGGACGGCUAACUACGUG